rnacentral:rRNA from 1 species
GAGUUUGAACCUGGCUCAGGAUGAACGCUGGCGGCGUGCCUAAUACAUGCAAGUCGAGCGAACCACUUCGGUGGUGAGCGGCGAACGGGUGAGUAACACGUAGGUGAUCUGCCCAUCAGACGGGGACAACGAUUGGAAACGAUCGCUAAUACCGGAUAGGACGAAAGUUUAAAGGUGCUUCUGGCACCGCUGAUGGAUGAGCCUGCGGCGCAUUAGCUAGUUGGUAGGGUAAAGGCCUACCAAGGCGACGAUGCGUAGCCGACCUGAGAGGGUGAACGGCCACACUGGGACUGAGACACGGCCCAGACUCCUACGGGAGGCAGCAGUAGGGAAUCUUCGGCAAUGGGCGAAAGCCUGACCGAGCAACGCCGGGUGAAUGAUGAAGGCCUUCGGGUUGUAAAAUUCUGUUAUAAGGGAAGAACGACUUUAGCAGGAAAUGGCUAGAGUGUGACGGUACCUUAUGAGAAAGCCACGGCUAACUACGUGCCAGCAGCCGCGGUAAUACGUAGGUGGCGAGCGUUAUCCGGAAUUAUUGGGCGUAAAGAGCGCGCAGGUGGUUGAUUAAGUCUGAUGUGAAAGCCCACGGCUUAACCGUGGAGGGUCAUUGGAAACUGGUCGACUUGAGUGCA